UACGGAGGGGCGAGCGUUGUCCGAAGUUACUGGGCGUAAAGCGCGCGUAGGCGGGUCGAAAAGUCCGCUGUGAAAGCCCGAGGCUUAACCUCGGCGGGUCGGUGGAUACUUUCGGUCUUGAAGGUGCUAGGGGAGAUGGAAUUACCGGGUGUAGCGGUGAAAUGCGUAGGAUAAUCGGUAGGAACACCAGUGGCGAAGGCGGUCUCCUGGGGCAUUCUUGACCGCUGAGGCGCGAAAGCUGGGGGAGCGAACGGGAAUUAGAAACCCCAGUAGGGUCCAAGACCGAAUGUACCUCUGCA
rnacentral:rRNA from 1 species